AACAAGGAUAGUUUUGCGCUACCCAUCUCUUGAUCGCUCGUCUUAUUUAAAAUUUUUUUAUGGUUAGUUUUUUUAUUGUUAUUACAUAAUAAAAUAUGACUAAUACUUUAUGUAUAACUAAUUUUUUUAAAUUUUUUUAUAAAAUUUUUAAAUAAGAUGAAUUAUCAAACAUGAAUACAGAUAUUUACAACUAUACUUAUU
rnacentral:pre_miRNA from 1 species